GUGCUCGCUUUGGCAGCACAUACAGUAAAAUUAGAACAAUAGAAGGAAGAUUAGCAUGGCCCCUGAGCAAGGAUGACAUGCAAUUUUAUGAUGAAUUCCAUAUUUUA
rnacentral:snRNA from 1 species